GAGAGGGAGAGUGCGGCUGACGGUGGCCUUCGGGCUGCUGAGGAAAGUCCCCCCACCGACCAGGUACGCAGCCGCAUGCAAGUGCGGGUGGCGAGAGUCAUGGCAAUGACACAGAAACGACACGCCCCGCCGUCAGUGAUGAAACGGCCGAGCCUCAGGGCGAGAAGCGCACAUAGGUUGCGCGAGUUAACCCGUUGAACGUAGCGGCGGGAACCGAUGAAACGGUGAAUCCCUGCGGGUGCAAGCCAGAACAGGGCAUAAGGGCGCCUGGGCCUGUCCGGGUAUGGCGCGUAGCUGAAUGCCGCAAAGAACAGAAGGGGGCUUACUCCUCCGACUC
rnacentral:RNase_P_RNA from 2 species